UCUCCGGAAGCGGAAGUCAGGGGGCUGUCGGAUUCCGUCUGACAGGAGUGGCUCCGCUGCCUCGGAGAGGUCCGGGCGCUUUCGCCAGAUCGGAAGCCCCUUACCCUUCACGGCCAGUCGUUUCCUCCGCGCUGGACGUCCACGGUGCGCCCUUGGGAGACCGGCUCCGUUGGGCUUUGCGGGGAAGUGACCAUCGCGGUGGUUUCCAGUCCUUACCUUCCUCUGCCUCUGUUCACCUCCUGGGGCAGCGCAACCCCAUUGUGGUGAGUCCUUUACCAGGUAGCCGCCUGCAGCCAGAAGAGCUCGGUGUGGUUUUAUUUGUAGUAAAUAAACUAAUGUUGGGGCACA